AACGAACGCUGGCGGCAUGCCUAACACAUGCAAGUCGAACGAGACCUUCGGGUCUAGUGGCGCACGGGUGCGUAACGCGUGGGAACCUUCCCUUAUGUUCGGAAUAACUCCCCGAAAGGGGUGCUAAUACCGGAUAAUGUCUUCGGACCAAAGAUUUAUCGCCUUUGGAUGGGCCCGCGUUGGAUUAGCUAGUUGGUAGGGUAAAAGCCUACCAAGGCGACGAUCCAUAGCUGGUUUGAGAGGAUGAUCAGCCACACUGGGACUGAGACACGGCCCAGACUCCUACGGGAGGCAGCAGUGGGGAAUAUUGGACAAUGGGCGAAAGCCUGAUCCAGCAAUGCCGCGUGAGUGAUGAAGGCCUUAGGGUUGUAAAGCUCUUUUACCCGGGAUGAUAAUGACAGUACCGGGAGAAUAAGCUCCGGCUAACUCCGUG
rnacentral:rRNA from 1 species